AACGGUGGGGGGAGGGGAAGGGAACCGGAAGCUGCCGGAGGUCUGGGGAAAGCCACUUCCGCUGGUCUCGGAAAGCGGCCGCAGUACUUUGUGAAGAAGAGAGGCAAUAGAGGGUUGGAGGCUGAUGCUACUAGAAGUGUGACCAUGGGAGUAAUUGCAGUAAAAGAAAGAUUCUAGAGAUUUUAAUUCCAUAUGAAGCCCUGGAAUCCUGGAAUCCUGUCAGCAUGGUGGUAAGAGUGUUUGACUCCUUGAUAAAGCACAGCACAGGAAGUUACAAAAGGACCUUUCUAAAUUAGUCUUUAAAGGGCUGGCCAAGGUGACCUGCGUUUUUGGCCAUGGCAGUCGAAAGGACUGAGGUAUCCUGGCAGAAGAAGUACCCAGAUGGAUUAAAUCAUGGAUCCUUCAAGUAGGAACACAAAAUUUGAAAGCACAGCAUUUUUGGUGUGGCCGUGGAUUCCAAAGCCUCCAUGUCUUCUUCUGCAAUCUUUGCAGCUAACAGCUCCUUCAUUCAGAUCCUCAUUCAGAAUCCUCAU